GACAACCUGCAAGACCCUGAAUGCUGUCUAACCGGUCAGGCCAAAAGAGAUGACUGCACACACUAAUGUACAGAUUCCUCCAGCAAAAUCUGGUUUGUACCAAUAUACACCUUUAAAGUAAAACAGAGGUGUCCACUCUCAGCAAGCCUUUCCCCCACCCACGUACACUGCGUUUCAUCUCCUUCAGUCAUGUGAGAAGCAAGAUUCCACCUUUGGAUUUGGACACGCAUCCCCCUCAAGGCUCUUCACAACUCUAGCCCUGACUGCCUCCCUGCUUUCGUUUGCAGAAGCAGUGUGGUCCAGUGGAUUAAGCACAGGCCUAGGGGCUCCCAGUGUGGGUGUGGCUUUCUGUGUGACUUUAGGCAAGGCACUUCCCUUUUGCCUGAGCUUCCCCCUCUAUAAAUGGGGACAUUGCGUAGCAGGGGUGUGGGAGGAUAAAUUAGUUCAUAUUGAUCCCAUGCUCUGACAAUCUACAUUAUUAUUAUUUCACCCUUCACCCUGUCUCGCACCUCUGCGCUCCUCCCAGUUCUCUCAGCCAGCUGCUCCCUUUGCCAAAUCCCUCUCUCUGCUUUGCCCCUGCCUCCAGGCUGCCCUGGGUAGCUAAACACACUUCCAUUUCCAUGAGCCAGCCUUCACCUCCCUCUUCAAAUCUCCCUGCUUUCACAAAGCCGCUGUUCCAAACCUUGUGGCCAUUGCCUCUGUCCCUGGCCUAUGGCCGGGGAUAUUGUUUUUGCGGAAGUUCCACCGGAAGCUCUUUGGGGCAGGGAACAGCCACGUCCACGUCUAGGCUACAUCAACGUUACUGAUACAAGCACAGCCCUAGGUGCUGCUGCCAGAUGGCAGUGGAUAAAAUAGCUACACUGCACUCAAGUGUUGCUUCCCCUUGUUAAGCUUGCUUCCUUACCUCUUGCCUUUCUGAUUCUUUUGGUCCUCUCCUGCCUUGGUAUUGCAGCAAGGACACAGGCCCUGCAUACUGAAAGAGGCUCUGUCCAACUCUACCUGGCACUUCAGGCAUUUUUUGAGAGGGUUCCCUUUUCUCUCCUCAGGCUUAGACAUUCCACCCUGAUCAAGCAGCUUCUCCUCAGCUGACUGGAAGGAGGGAAGUUCAAAAGUUAAACGCAAUGCUAGAUUUCUCCACAGAGCGGGGAUGGGAUGUUGAUCGUGAUGGCUGCCUACUCCUUUUUCUGUCAGACAGGAGGAGAGAAGAAGUCAGAGCUCCCUGAGGAAACAUGGGGUUUCCAGGCUGCGCAGAUAGGAAAAUGCGACCCCGAAGGCUGUGUCUGGGCCAACUUUUCAUCAGAGCCAAGUGUGAUCAGUACGAAUGACGCAUGGACAGCAAGGCACAAGGGACAGGUGCAUCCACAUUAUUGGGCUCAGUAAUUGGUUGAGAGUCUAUGACCUGUGCUACAUGGGAGAUAAGAUGAUCUAAUGGUCCCCUCUGGCCUGAAAUUCUACGAAGUCUUGAAGUUUUGAAUCCGAAGGAACCGGUGAUGCCGAUCUGUCUGAAUAAAAGGUGCAUCUUUCUUAAAA